rnacentral:lncRNA from 1 species
GUGAGGAGCGUCUCUGCCCAGCCGCCCCGUCUGAGAAGUGAGGAGCCCCUCCGCCUGGCAGCCGCCCCAUCUGGGAAGUGAGGAGCGUCUCCGCCCAGCAGACGCCCCCUCCAGGAGGUGGGGGGCAGCCCCCGCCCGGCCAGCCGCCCCGUCCGGGAGGGAGGUGGGGGGGCGCCUCUGCCCAGCCGCCCUGUCUGGGAGGUGGGGGGGCCCCUCUGCCCGGCCGCC